rnacentral:rRNA from 1 species
UUGGAGGGCAAGUCUGGUGCCAGCAGCCGCGGUAAUUCCAGCUCCAAUAGCGUAUAUUAAAGUUGUUGAGGUUAAAAAGCUCGUAGUUGAACCUUGGGCCUAGCCGGCCGGUCCGCCUCACCGCGUGCACUGGCUCGGCUGGGUCUUUCCUUCUGGAGAACCGCAUGCCCUUCACUGGGUGUGCCGGGGAACCAGGACUUUUACUCUGAACAAAUUAGAUCGCUUAAAGAAGGCCUAUGCUCGAAUACAUUAGCAUGGAAUAAUAGAAUAAG